rnacentral:rRNA from 1 species
UGAUCCUGGCUCAGGACGAACGCUGGCGGCGUGCUUAACACAUGCAAGUCGAACGGUGAACCCGCUUCGGUGGGGGAUCAGUGGCGAACGGGUGAGUAACACGUGGGCAACCUGCCCCCGGCUCUGGGAUAACUCCAAGAAAUUGGGGCUAAUACCGGAUAUGACCGCUGACCGCAUGGUCUGGUGGUGGAAAGAUUUAUCGGCUGGGGAUGGGCCCGCGGCCUAUCAGCUUGUUGGUGGGGUAGUGGCCUACCAAGGCGACGACGGGUAGCCGGCCUGAGAGGGUGACCGGCCACACUGGGACUGAGACACGGCCCAGACUCCUACGGGAGGCAGCAGUGGGGAAUAUUGCGCAAUGGGCGGAAGCCUGACGCAGCGACGCCGCGUGGGGGAUGACGGCCUUCGGGUUGUAAACCUCUUUCAGCAGGGACGAAGCGCAAGUGACGGUACCUGCAGAAGAAGCACCGGCCAACUACGUGCCAGCAGCCGCGGUAAUACGUAGGGUGCAAGCGUUGUCCGGAAUUAUUGGGCGUAAAGAGCUCGUAGGCGGUUGGUCGCGUCGGCUGUGAAAACCCGGAGCUCAACUCCGGGCCUGCAGUCGAUACGGGCCGACUUGAGUGUUGCAGGGGAGACUGGAAUUCCUGGUGUAGCGGUGAAAUGCGCAGAUAUCAGGAGGAACACCGGUGGCGAAGGCGGAUCUCUGGGCCGAUACUGACGCUGAGGAGCGAAAGCGUGGGGAGCGAACAGGAUUAGAUACCCUGGUAGUCCACGCCGUAAACGUUGGGCGCUAGGUGU